rnacentral:lncRNA from 1 species
GCUCGUGUGGAUGACUCCUAGAGGCUGGAUGCAUGUGCGGCUUGCAACAUCAUCCUCAAGCCUGGAUCAGUGAGGUUAGAACAUCUAACUUGCAAGGUAAUAGAUCUGAUCUAUUGUUUAAUACAUAUAUUAGAUAUAGUAUAGAAACAUGUUGAUAUGAUCAACAUGUAGUUCAUGCUAUAUUUAUAUAUUUUAAUUUUUGAUUUAAU